rnacentral:tRNA from 1 species
GAGGGCAUAGCUUAGUGGUAGAGUGCCUGCUUAGCAAGCAUGAGGUCCUGGGUUCAAUCCCCAGUAGCUCCA